GACGAACCGUGCGAACGUUAUUCGGAAUAACUGGGCUUAAAGGGAGCGUAGGCGGGCUAUCAAGUCUGGGGUGAAAUCCCACGGCUCAACCGUGGAACUGCCUUAGAUACUGACGGCCUCGAGGGAGAUAGGGGCAUGCGGAACUGCAGGUGGAGCGGUGAAAUGCGUUGAUAUCUACAGGAACUCCGGUGGCGAAAGCGGCGUGCUGGAUCUCUUCUGACGCUGAGGCUCGAAAGCUAGGGGAGCAAACGGG
rnacentral:rRNA from 1 species